GACGAACGCUGGCGGCGUGCUUAACACAUGCAAGUCGAGCGGUAAGGCCCUUUCGGGGGUACGACGAGCGGCGAACGGGUGAGUAACACGUGGGUGACCUGCCCUCAGCUCUGGGAUAAGCCUGGGAAACCGGGUCUAAUACUGGAUAUGACUCCAUGACGCAUGUUGUGGGGUGGAAAGCCUUGUGCGGCUGAGGAUGGGCCCGCGGCCUAUCAGCUUGUUGGUGGGGGAUGGCCUACCAAGGCGACGACGGGUAGCCGGCCUGAGAGGGCGACCGGCCACACUGGGACUGAGACACGGCCCAGACUCCUACGGGAGGGCAGCAGUGGGGAAUCUUGCGCAAUGGGCGAAAGCCUGACGCAGCGACGCCGCGUGAGGGAUGACGGCCUGG
rnacentral:rRNA from 1 species